UACGGAGGUCCCAAGCGUUGUUCGGAUUCAUUGGGCGUAAAGGGUGCGUAGGCGGCGCGGUAAGUCGGGUGUGAAAUCUCGGAGCUUAACUCCGAAACUGCAUUCGAUACUGCCGUGCUUGAGGACUGGAGAGGAGACUGGAAUUUACGGUGUAGCGGUGAAAUGCGUAGAUAUCAUAAGGAAGACCAGUGGCGAAGGCGGGUCUCUGGACAGUUCCUGACGCUGAGGCACGAAGGCCAGGGGAGCAAACGGG
rnacentral:rRNA from 1 species